UACGUAGGGGGCAAGCGUUGUCCGGAAUCAUUGGGCGUAAAGAGCGUGUAGGCGGCCCGAUAAGUCCGCUGUGAAAGUCCAGGGCUCAACCCUGGAAUGCCGGUGGAUACUGUCGGGCUCGAAUCCGGAAGAGGUGAGUGGAAUUCCUGGUGUAGCGGUGAAAUGCGCAGAUAUCAGGAGGAACACCGAUGGCGAAGGCAGGUCUCUGGGCCGCAACUGACGCUGAGGAGCGAAAGCAUGGGGAGCGAACAGG
rnacentral:rRNA from 1 species